UACGUAGGGUGCAAGCGUUAAUCGGAAUUACUGGGCGUAAAGCGUGCGCAGGCGGUUUUGUAAGUCUGACGUGAAAUCCCCGGGCUCAACCUGGGAAUUGCGUUGGAGACUGCAAGGCUGGAGUCUGGCAGAGGGGGGUAGAAUUCCACGUGUAGCAGUGAAAUGCGUAGAUAUGCGGAGGAACACCGAUGGCGAAGGCAAUCCCCUGGGCCUGCACUGACGCUCAUGCACGAAAGCGUGGGGAGCAAACAGG
rnacentral:rRNA from 1 species